GGGUAUCGGGUUCUUUCCCUAGCUCUCUUCUCUCUCUCUAUCUUCUAUAUUUGGGUAUGCUUGUAACUUUGAACUUUCAAUAAGAAAAACUUGUUUCAGCAGGAUUGAUAGUUGUCAUUCUAGCAAAUUUUGUGGUGAGGACCAAGUCUAUGAGGAAGAAGAGCUCGUUGCAGCCAGUGCUAUUAAACUCGGCUCGGACUAGCCAGUCGAAUCAGUCCGAUCGUGACACACCUUACCGGUUUGAGUCGAUAUUCAGAUCGGUUGUGCAAAUGAACCGGUGAGAACCAUCAGACUCGGUCGGUUUAUACAAAAAAUCGAUGUUCGACCAAACCUUGAUCGAACCGGCGACGACAUACCAUAGUUGAAGACUGAGGAGGAUUUAUGGGCCCCUAGAGAGAGAGAGAGAGAGAGAGAGAGAGAGAGAGAGAGAGAGAGAGAGAGAUUUAUUAUAUACAAAUUAUCAAAAUCUCUUAUGAUCAGACCCGUUUGGAAGAUAUUAUCUGAACUUAUUUUGUAAGAACGCUUAUGAAAGUAUUUGGAAGAACUUAUAUAAAUAGCUUAAGAGUCACUUAUAAGUUGUUUAGAGUUAUUUUCGUAGGUUAUUCGAAUUAGCUUAUUAAUGAGAGCUUAAGUUUAUCUGUAAUCAA